AACGAACGCUGGCGGCAUGCCUAACACAUGCAAGUCGAACGAAGCCUUCGGGCUUAGUGGCGCACGGGUGCGUAACGCGUGGGAACCUACCAUCAGGUUCGGAAUAACAGUUAGAAAUGACUGCUAAUACCGGAUAAUGUCUUCGGACCAAAGAUUUAUCGCCUUUUGAUGGGCCCGCGUAAGAUUAGGUAGUUGGUGGGGUAAAGGCCUACCAAGCCGACGAUCUUUAGCUGGUCUGAGAGGAUGAUCAGCCACACUGGGACUGAGACACGGCCCAGACUCCUACGGGAGGCAGCAGUGGGGAAUAUUGGACAAUGGGCGAAAGCCUGAUCCAGCAAUGCCGCGUGAGUGAAGAAGGCCUUCGGGUUGUAAGACUCUUCUAGUCGAGAAGAAAAGGACUGCGGUGAAUAACUAGUAGUUUAUUGACGGUAUCGACAGAAGAAGCACCGGCUAACUACGUGCCAGCAGCCGCGGUAAAGUGACUACU
rnacentral:rRNA from 1 species